AUGGGGGAGCACGCGUACGACCACAGCAGCAGCAGCGGGGGCGGCAUGAGCCCGUCGACGCCGCCGGUGCAGCAGCGCAGGGGCCUCUCCCGCCACGCGACGGCGCCCAGGGCCACCACAACGCGGCCGGCGAUAAGGAUCAUCCACAUCAUCGCGCCGGAGAUCAUCAAGACCGACGUCGACAACUUCCGGGACCUCGUGCAGCGCCUCACCGGGAGGCAGCACCACCAGCCGGCCGACGUCACGGCGAACGACCGCGCGGCAGUGACGGUGGGCGUGGCGACCACGCCGCCGUCGCCCGUAGAGGAGAAGCCGCAGCCGCAGAAGAAGAGGCUGGCACCAGCGCCGGCGCUGGCGGACGAUUUCGUGGCGCAGCAGGAGAACAAGAGGAGGAAGAAGAUCAAGUGCGAGGUGGUGAAGGUGGAGGAAGGAGGGUUGGGCUACGGCGGCGGCGACCUCGACUUCAGCGAGCUGUGGAUGGAUCUCAACCCCGGGGGCUUCCUGAGCUUCUUGGAGGAGGACGUGUUCCAGGGGAUGAUGGCUCCUGACCUGCUGCAGCAGCCGCUGGGGGCGCCGAGGAUGGAUUUAGUUGGUGAAAUGUGCGCCUCCUUUCUGGCUUAG
rnacentral:rRNA from 1 species